rnacentral:rRNA from 1 species
UACGUAGGAGGCGAGCGUUGUCCGGAGUUACUGGGCGUAAAGGGUGCGCAGGCGGCCCGACAGGUGUGUGGUGAAAUCUCCCGGCCUAACUGGGAGGGGUCGCCCAAGACUGCGGGACUUGAGGCUGGCAGAGGUAGGUGGAAUUCCUGGUGUAGUGGUGAAAUGCGUAGAGAUCAGGAGGAACACCGGUGGCGAAGGCGGCCUACUGGGCCAGCACUGACGCUGAGGCGCGAAAGCUCGGGGAGCGAACGGG